GAAAUUUAAAAAUAUAACACUCCAGGUUUUUAUAUUGUUUUGCAUAAGACAGAAUGUGAUUAGAAACUGUUGAUUAACUGCAAUGUGCUACUCUCAGCUUCAUCAGAACAGCAUGGAAAAGACUUUGGGCUAAUGUAAAUAAGUCCAUGUGGAUUUAUCUUAUAAAGCUUGUAAGAGACAUUUGUAUUAAAAGAACAAAUAAUAGCCUGACACUGCCCAAAAAUUAUUUGCUAUUUCUGUUCACGCAUUCAUUGUAAUUUCAUUUUGUGCUGAGCAUUACUUGGAACUUCUCUCUUCAUUUUAAUUUCAGGGAAGAAUCAACAUCAAGAAAAAGAGAAUGAACUCUUGAACAUAAACUAUGAUAAGCUUGAGUGUCUUCUGUAUGACCCAUGAACAGCAAUGGAAAUCAAAGGAACAGAAAAUGAAACUGCAAAUUGCUAAACUAGAGAUGGCUAUCAAAUCUGAUUUAGCAGACAAAAAUGCAAUCCUUGACAAGAUCAAAGUAGAAAGAGCACAUGGGACAGGAGGUUAA
rnacentral:lncRNA from 1 species